rnacentral:lncRNA from 1 species
AUGGCGGCGGCGCCGAGCGCUGUCACACCGCUGGCAGCGGAGUCUUCCCCUCAGGAAGCUACCGUCUCUGUCGCCUCCUCCUCCUCCUCCUCCUCCACCGCCACCGCCUGCGCGGCGGCGGCGGCGGCGGCGGCAGCGGCAGCGAUUGUGCCUGCCUCCUCCGCCACCUCCACGUCUGCCUGCCCGCCUGCCGGUGACUGUGGCGGCGGCGGCGGCGGCGGCGGCGGCGGCUUUGGCGGCUCCACUAUGGCGGCGGCGGGGAGGGGGGGCAGUAGGUUUAAAGUAGACACCCGCCCUUGCCUGAGAGAAGAUAUGACUUGGAAUGAACAGGAAAAGACUGAACUUUUUGCAGAUAAUUUUUGUAAUGUAUGUGGAGUGGUGCUUCAGUUUGAAUCACAAAGGAUUUCACAUUAUGAGAGUGAAAAACAUGCUCAAAAUGUUAGGUUUUAUUUUCAAAUGCCUGGGGAACAAAAUGAAGUGCCUGGUAAGAAAAUGAAGAUGGAUGUGAGGAAUUUUCAGGAGCAUAGAAGUGAAGUAGUGGACAGAAACAAAUUUUGUGGUCUCUGCCACAUGGUUUUUAGCUCCUCAGUUGUUGCUCAGUCUCACUAUGUGGGGAAAGUCCAUUCUAAAAAACUGAAGCAAUUAAUGGAGGAGCAUGAUCAGGUAUCUCCAUCAAGAUUUCAGCCAGCAACGGCAGGUGUGCCUAUUACUACCUCUGCAGAGUCAACUUUUCUGAAGCCCCUUGCUGUCAAGCCUCCUCCAGGUGGGAUUAAAGACAAGAUUAUGCCUUCCUCUUCCAGCAGUGCUUUGGAUUUGAAUAAUCCAAACAAGUAUUGCAAGCUCUGUCCUGCUUCUUUUAAUAGUCCAUUAAUGGCCCAACAACAUUAUGUUGGGAAAAAACACAAAAGAAAUGAAGCUAGAAAGAAGUUUGUAGACAAGAUAAGAGAGAAACCUCUUCCUGCAAAAUCAGAUGCAAAUGCAUUUAGUAUGAGAACCUACGAUUGUCGUAUUUGUAAUAUCACCUUUACAUCUUUAGAAAUGUUCCGGUCUCAUAUGCAAGGAAGUGAACAUCAACUUAAAGAAUCCAUUGUUAUCAAUCUAGUGAAGAAAUCAAGGAAGCCACCAGACUCUUGCCAAGAUGAAUCUACAGAUUACAUCAAAGUACAGAAAGCCAGGGGAUCAGAACCAAAGACUUGUUUUAGAAAGAUGGAAGAAAGUUCUUUGGAAGCCCGUGGAUACAGAGAAGCAGUUGAUUCCAGAUCCAGACAUAGAAUGUUUGAACAAAGAUCCCCAUGUGAGACUUUCUGGACAUAUCCAGGACCAUAUAAUACUUCACAAACAGUGGAAAACCAGUUACCUCAUUGCUUACCAGCUCAAUCAAAGAAAACAUAUGACUCUUUUCAAGAUGAACUGGAAGAUUAUAUCAAAGUGCAGAAAGCCAGAGGACUAGAUCCAAAGACUUGUUUCAGAAAGGAAAGAGAGAGCUCUGUGGAAACCCAUGGGUACAGAGAAAUUUAUUCUGGACCCAGACCAAGAAUGUGUGAACGAAGAUAUUCAUUUGAGACUUCUCAGACCUACCAACGACCAUACACUAUUUCACCAGUGGAAAGCCAAGUAUAUCACUGGUUACCAGCUCCUUCGAAGAGGACAUAUAACUCUUUCCAAGAUGAACUUGAGGAUUAUAUCAAAGUGCAGAAAGCCAGAGGACUAGAGCCAAAGACUUCUUUCAGAAAGAUAAGUGAUAGCUCUGUAGAAACCCAUAAGCACAGAGAAAUGGUUGAUUCCAGACCCAGACCUAGAAUGUUUGAGCAAAAACUCCCAUUUGAGACUUUCCAUUUCCAGGCUUACCCAGGAUCAUAUAGUAUUUCACAGGCAGAAGAAAACCAGUUACCUCAUCCUUUACCAACUCAUGACAGCAAACAGAGAUUAGACUCUGUGACCUACUGUCAACCCACCAGAGACUGUUUCCCAGAAAAACCAGUACCCCUGAGCCUUAGUCAGCAGGAUAAUAACUCUGGCACAUACAGUGUAGAAUCUGAAGUUUAUAAGCACCUCUCCUCAGAAAACGAUACCAGUGAGCAUCAAGUAGGUCAUAAGCGGAAACAUCAGAAGAAAAGAAGGCACAUGGAGAAAGGUGAAGAAAGGCCAGAGAAGGAGCAGUCCAAGCAUAAAAGAAAAAAGAGUUAUGCGGAUACAGACCUAGACAAGCACAAGGGCACUGGGGAAAGGAAAAGAGAUGGAGAUAAAUUCAGAGUCAGUUCAGGAAGGCUUAAGCAUCGAAAAAAGAAAAAAAGCCGUGGUGUACCCUCUGAGAAGGAAGAACGUAAGCACAAGAAAGAGAAAAAAAAAUCUGUUGAAGAAAAGACGGAAGAGGAAAUGCUUUGGGAUGAGUCUAUUCUUGGAUUUUAA